UCCCCGGUAGCUCAGUUGGCAGAGCGGGUGGCUGUUAACCAUCUUGUCGCUGGUUCGAGUCCGGCCCGGGGAGCCA
rnacentral:tRNA from 1 species